rnacentral:piRNA from 1 species
CAAGCUGGAUUCUGGGACAAAGGUGA